UUGAACAAGAAGGUACAGCAACUCAGCAGUAGUCAAACUGAGACCAUUGCAGCUCCUGUGAGCUCACAAACAGACCCUGCAAACGGGCUUUUGUACGGGCGUUUAGCAGGGGAGUUUAAAGGGGAGGCCCAGAGCACUGUCUCUCGGUGUUCAUAGGACCAAGAGACGUGGAGGGCGAGGGAGCUGCUGCAGUGACUUGCAACACCUGUGCCAUUUUGGUCUUUCUGCCAGAGAACAUGCAACAGUACACUUGUAGCAAGUGCAAGCUGGUUGUCUUGCUGUAAGAGAAGGCGCAGUGGUUUGAGGCCCACAGCUCAAGCGGCAGGACAACGUGCAGAGUUUCUUGACAGAGCUGAGUCGACUGUGAUGGAGCAGCAAGACAGAUGGGAUUAUGAGACUCUGGGCAGAUAGCUGAAGAGCCUUGGAGCACAGGUGGUCUUUUCAUCACUCCUUCCUGUUGAAGGAAGAGAGAGGCGAAUACUGGCUGCCCAGGUGGUGUCGUCAUGAAGCGUUUGGCUUCUUGGAGGGUCCUGUCCCUCUUUGCCCUUAAAAUGCCUUCUCCAGUUCAAACAGCAGUGUUGUCCUUUGUUUUUAAAUUCAAAAAGCAAAACACAGUAGAAUUCGAAUUGUCCUAAAAGGGAAAAGACACUCCCCUUUUAACUCUCAGAACAAAUGGUGUUGGGCUGCUUACUUGUGAGGAGAAAAGCCAGCUCUGUACACAAUGUCUGAAUUUGGACGCUGUGCGAAUAUUUCCGUUUAUUCUGGGUCCAAUGUGUUCACACUGCUGAUGUUUGAAGCAGAGUGACAUUAGGCACAACCCAGCUGUAUUCUGUAGUUUCUUGAGAAAUACAGCUGAUUGACAUGUUUCCCCUCAAACCAGCUUCCAUCUGAUUUGAAAAUGAAAGCCAUGGUUACACAUGAGGUGUGUACAUUUGAGGCAGCUGUUGCAUAUGGACAGGUGGAUUCAGUGAAUGGACACAAAUCAGGUAAUGUACAUCGGAUGGCAGCUUAACUGCCCCAUCACUAGUUUGCACGACAACAUAAAAAAGUGACUUGAAACAACUUUGCUGUGUUUUUAACCACGAAUAUCUACAUAGCCUAAAUUUAAUGUUUAGAUAUAGCUCUGAAGCCAUUCAUCUAAAUCUGAGUUCCCUUGGAAGAGAGAUUGAACCCAUCCUGGGAACUGUAGCUGUGUGAGGGGAACAGGGGGUCAGAAGACAGCUCAGAAGAGGCACCAGGUUUUGGGAAGGAAGCAUGAGGCUUUGGCAGGCUGGUAGAACCCUCCCACCCCCUUCCCAGGGCUGGGAAAGCGUUGACCCUGUCAGUCUCACAUCUCCUUCCCAAAGCCCAGCGCCUCACUUACCAGGCUUUGGGAAGGAAGCGCAAGGGCUGCAGGGAGGCGUCCAGUGUUGCGGAGGGCUACCAAAAAAAGCUGUUGGGCUGCACGUUGGACCACUCUGGUGCAGGGAAUACAGCAGGAAUUAGGAUCUAAUGGACUUUCAGAAAUUGCACAGCCAAUAGACAGGGAUGCUGGGAGCUACUUGUAGGAGCCCAGAAUGUGAGAGCCCUUAACCAUUUGACAAAGCACAACAGAAUGACCUGUUCAAAGGUUUCAUUCUUCCAGCACAUACACAUAUAAAAUCGCUAGAAAUGGGUAAUUAGUUAGAAACUCAUCAUUAGGAGAUAUCAAAAGCUAUGGUUAGCUUUACAAAGAGGCUCUAUUUUGUCUGCAGUCAGGCGGUGAUAAAUGUAAAUAAAAAGUGACAGGUGAUAGUUAGCAAGGCAAGCUACAUUAUGUGUGUACUGUAAAUCUUCAUGUUCUUUCAGUGCGCUGAAUGUCAAAAUGAUAAACAGAAUAAACAGUUAUUUCUUUA